AAUAGAUACCCUGGUAGUCCACGCCCUAAACGAUGUCAACUAGCUGUUGGGGCCUUCGGGCCUUGGUAGCGCAGCUAACGCGUGAAGUUGACCGCCUGGGGAGUACGGUCGCAAGAUUAAAACUCAAAGGAAUUGACGGGGACCCGCACAAGCGGUGGAUGAUGUGGAUUAAUUCGAUGCAACGCGAAAAACCUUACCUACCCUUGACAUGUCUGGAAUGCCGAAGAGAUUUGGCAGUGCUCGCAAGAGAACCGGAACACAGGUGCUGCAUGGCUGUCGUCAGCUCGUGUCGUGAGAUGUUGGGUUAAGUCCCGCAACGAGCGCAACCCUUGUCAUUAGUUGCUACGAAAGGGCACUCUAAUGAGACUGCCGGUGACAAACCGGAGGAAGGUGGGGAUGACGUCAAGUCCUCAUGGCCCUUAUGGGUAGGGCUUCACACGUCAUACAAUGGUCGGGACAGAGGGUCGCCAACCCGGCGAGGGGGAGCCAAUCCCAGAAACCCGAUCGUAGUCCGGAUCGCAGUCUGCAA
rnacentral:rRNA from 1 species